UACGAAGGGGGCUAGCGUUGUUCGGAAUCACUGGGCGUAAAGGGCGCGUAGGCGGCUGUUCAAGUCGGGGGUGAAAUCCCGUGGCUCAACCACGGAAUGGCCUUCGAUACUGGACGGCUGGAGACCGGAAGAGGUGAGUGGAACUGCGAGUGUAGAGGUGAAAUUCGUAGAUAUCGUAAGGAAGACCAGUGGCGAAGGCGGGUCUCUGGACAGUUCCUGACGCUGAGGCACGAAGGCCAGGGGAGCAAACGGG
rnacentral:rRNA from 1 species